AGUUUUGAUUUUCACAAGCAGGAAUCAGAUUUCCUCCAGUGUCUAGCUCAAGAAAUUAUUUGGACAUGUUUAUGAUUCUUACACAAGGUGAUGUGAACAUUUCAAGUGUAACAGGAGACAGCCAUUGUUGGGUUUUAGUCCCACCCUAAUGAUUCAUGAUGUUGAAAGGUACGGGAAGCCAAAAGUCUUCUCUACCCACAUAAACUUGUAGAUUAAUUUGAAGCCUCUCAAAACCAAGCCAGCAUUUUGUGAUCAUCUUAGGUUU